rnacentral:rRNA from 1 species
UAGUCUCGCACAGAUGCAUAUCAAUAAGCGGAGGAAAAGAAACUAACAAGGAUUCCCUUAGUAACGGCGAGUGAAGCGGGAAGAGCUCAAAUUUGAAAUCUUCAAGGUUUUACCUUGACGAAUUGUAGUUUAAAGAAGUGUUUUCUGUUGAAGUUUUGGUAAAAGUUCUUUGGAAUAGGACAUCAUAGAGGGUGAGAAUCCCGUAUUUGACCAUUAUUUUCAGCUGUGUGAUACACUUUCAAAGAGUCGGAUUGUUUGGGAAUGCAGUCCAAAAUGGGUGGUAAAUUUCAUCUAAAGCUAAAUAUUGGCGAGAGACCGAUAGCGAACAAGUACCGUGAGGGAAAGAUGAAAAGAACUUUGAAAAGAGAGUUAAACAGUACGUGAAAUUGUCAAAAGGGAAGCGUUUGACACCAGUGUUGUUUUCUCGAAAAUCAAUUAAAAAGAGUUUGAUUUUGUUGUGUAUUGACCUUAACAGCUUGCAUUUCAAUUUUCUUGCUUUUUUUAAUGCACUUUUCGUUUAACAAGUCAACAUCAGUUUCUUUUGUUGUAAAAAGGUCAUUGGAAGGUGGCUUUCUUUUCGGAGAAAGUGUUUAUAGCCUUUGACUCCUGCAAUCGGAGAGACUGAGGUCUGCAGCGUAGAUCCUUCGGGGUUAGAUACAUUUGUGCUAAGUUAUAGCUUUUUAUAGACAACUUGUUGACUAUGAUUAGUCUUGUAGCUUACUCGCUUAUGCUAUUUUACCUACGCUUAGGAUGUUGAGCGCAUGUCUCUCUCU